GCAAACUUGGUCAUUUAGAGGAAGUAAAAGUCGUAACAAGGUUUCCGUAGGUGAACCUGCGGAAGGAUCAUCACUGAGAUCGGGGCGUGCGGCGGCAGCAGUGUGCUCUCUGCGCGCUCUGCUUUGCUGCGCCCCCAACCAAUCUUGUGUGCACUGUUAUAUCUUCCACAAAGUCAAGGAGACAUACCCGCGACACGCGUGGCAGCCUGUGUUGUGUGUUGGCAAGUGCGUGUAGUGCGCGCUUGCCAACCGCACACGCGCGCCAUGUCGUGUUGUGGCGGGUGUGUUCUUUUCUUGUUCUAUGUGUAAUCUCUUGUGUAAAUUACUGUCUAACGUUUUAUACAUAACUAACAUGAACACAACUUUCAACAAUGGAUCUCUUGGCUCUCGCAUCGAUGAAGAACGCAGC
rnacentral:misc_RNA from 1 species